rnacentral:rRNA from 1 species
GACGAACGCUGGCGGCGUGCUUAACACAUGCAAGUCGAACGGAAAGGCCCUGCUUUUGUGGGUUGCUCGAGUGGCGAACGGGUGAGUAACACGUGAGUAACCUGCCCUUGACUUUGGGAUAACUUCAGGAAACUGGGGCUCAUACCGGAUAGGAGCUCCUGCUGCAUGGUGGGGGUUGGAAAGUUUCGGCGGUUGGGGAUGGACUCGCGGCUUAUCAGCUUGUUGGUGGGGUAGUGGCUUACCAAGGCUUUGACGGGUAGCCGGCCUGAGAGGGUGACCGGCCACAUUGGGACUGAGAUACGGCCCAGACUCCUACGGGAGGCAGCAGUGGGGAAUAUUGCACAAUGGGCGGAAGCCUGAUGCAGCAACGCCGCGUGCGGGAUGACGGCCUUCGGGUUGUAAACCGCUUUCGCCUGUGACGAAGCGGGAGUGACGGUAAUGGGUAAAGAAGCACCGGCUAACUACGUG